rnacentral:rRNA from 1 species
CCUACGGGAGGCAGCAGUGAGGAAUAUUGGUCAAUGGACGAGAGUCUGAACAAGCCAAGUAGAGUGAAGGAUUACUGCCCUAUGGGUUGUAAACUUCUUUUAUAAAGGAAUAAAACGAGGCACGUGUGCCUUUUUGCAUGUACUUUAUGAAUAAGGAUCGGCUAACUCCGUGCCCGCAGCCGCGGUAAUACGGAGGAUCCGAGCGUUAACCGGAUUUAUUGGGUUUAAAGGGAGCGUAGAUGGGUUGUGAAGUGAGUUGUGAAAGUUUGCGGAUCAACCGUAAAAUUGCAAUUGAUACUGGCAGUCUUGAGUACAGUUGAGGUAGGCGGAAUUCGUGGUGUAGCGGUGAAAUGCUUAGAUAUCACGAAGAACCCCGAUUGCGAAGGCAGCUUACUAAACUGUGACUGACAUUGAUGCUCGAAAGUGUGGGUAUCAAACAGGAUUAGAUACCCGAGUAGUC